rnacentral:lncRNA from 1 species
ACCCAAAACCUCACAUACUCUCUCCCAAUCAUGCAUACUCACUCCCACAUGCAUAAAGGAGCAUAAACUAAUAACAUAGCAUCACACUAACACAUAUAAACACACAUUGGGCAUCAAACCCACAUAAACCCAAACAUGCAUAUCUACCCAUACUCAACCAUCAAAACCUUCAUAAAACUUCAUAAAAACACUAGGGAAGCAAGGAUCUACACUUACCUCUUGAAGAUCGAGGGUUUGUGAGAGCUCUAACUUGGAGAUGGGAGGAACCAACUCCUUGGGUCUCCAAGUUCCCAAAACUCCUUUUUAAGCUUGAAAACUCUUCAAAUCAACCAUGAAACUCAUGAAAACAUGAAGGAGAUGAAGAAAAUCAUGAAAAUGACCAAAGGAGCACAAGAACUCACCUGAGCUCGAGAAUGGGGAGAAAACUCGCCCAUUUCCGAUCUGAGGGCCCUUUAUAGGUGUCCUGGUCGAAGACCUUCGGCGGCCUAACGUGCCCCCUAAACUCAUGCAUGUUCGGCGGCCGAACAUGAGUUUCGGCGGCCGAACCGUGGCUCGUUCAAACAAGACUUUCGGAGGCCAAAAGCACUCCCGAAGCCUUUCCAUGUUCGGCGGCCGAACUUGACUUUCGGCGGCCGAACCUGGCAAAUGCCUCCUUGGUCUUUUCUUUUAAAAACUAAAUUCUUUUUCAUUUAAAACCAUGAAAUCAGUAAAAACAUUUCAGAAAACAUAUUUUACCCUUCUAGAAGACUCUGACAUCUUCAGAGAUUCCAGAUUCCAACGGAGAUUCCGCCGGAAGAUAGGGAUUCCGAUGCCAGAAUCUAGCCGGGUAUUACAUUCUUCCCCCCUUUAAGAACAUUCGUCCCCGAAUGUUCCACAAACAAACAGGCAUACAAAACAUGCAAGCAAACAAGCAAGCAAAACCUAACAACCUCUCUCCUAAAAGAGAGACAUAGGUACUGCUGGAGUAUAAACUCCCGGUCUUUCAGACAUACCUUAGCAAUACCCAACCUUCUCCUGAACUCCACUGGCUUCCGCUGCGCUACUCUGAUCCUUUCUCUUCUCUCUUCAUCUUUACCAACUGGUUUCUUCUCACUACUAACCCAACGCUAACCCAACUCUCACAGGUAGUACCCAGAUUUCAGAUCUAUCUUGGAAAACAAACAGCUCCUACUAGCUGUCCCAAUAGAUCAUCCAUCCUGCAUGGGAAUACCUGCCCUUGGUAGUGACCUUGGUCACCUGCUUACAGUCUUUACAAAGUCUCAAGGAUCCAUCCUUCGUUUUCCACAACCAUACUGGAGCAAUCCAGGGUGAGGUACUAGGUCGGAUAAAACCCUUGUCUACCAAGUCACACAACUGCUCUAACAACUCUUACAACUCUCCAGGUGCCAUCCUGUAGGGGAGAAUAGAAAUGGUUCUGAGUCCAGACACCACUCCUAUGCUCAACUCCAUUCCCUAACAGAUGGUGAACCUGACAACUAGCCUAGGAAGACAUCUAAGAACUCUCUCUAACAACUGGCACUGAGGCUGGUUCCCUGACCCGACUGCAAAACUCUCAAACAAGAGCUAGAACUCUCUGACAACCCCUCCUACGUACCCUACGAACCUGACAGGCCGACAUCAAACCUCUAGGCAUCCCUACUGUGUUCCCUUAGAAAACUACCUCUGACCCAUCCUGUCCCCUGAACCUAACUACCUUGUCUCUACAGACCAAGAUAGCACCAUGAGCAGAAACCCAUCCAUCCCUCGAUUGACGUCCAGACAGUCAAGUCUAGGACCUCAAAGUCGAGUGGAAGGCAUCUACCCUCAACUAACACUGAACUGGACCGGCAGACUGACUCCGCCACAGAUGGAUCACACGUGAGUCCACUGACCCAAAGAGAACACCCUAGCCCAGAAGCUAUCAAAUCAACCUCUCGACGGCUCCUAGAGCAACUAAAGAAAGAGGAAAACACCAGGGUUCACAAAAACAUACACAUCAGAACGUUCAAAAGUGAGCAUACCUGGCACCACUGUGUUUGAUGUGUCUGCCUCUUGCUGAGCUUGGGUGAAGAUCCGAGCUGGAGCUGACGGACCUUCUCCACGGGAACCUGAAGAAUGAGGGACUGACCCUCUUCCGCUGCCUCGACCACUAACCUGAACUAUGGCUGGAGCUGCUGGCUGAGCUGUUCUACCUGAAGCUGCUUGCUGGGACGGAGCCAACCCGGGCGCAGUGGGACACUCACGUGCUAUGUGCCCCUCCUGUCCGCACCUGUAACAUAGAUUAGUCCCAUAACGGCAGACUCCCUUGUGCGGCCUUCCGCACCUCAUACAUCUUGAACUGCCUGAGCCAGAGCUCGAACCACCACCUAAUCCCAGACUAGACUUCAACCGUCUCCACAACUUCUUCUUCUUCCCCCUCAGGGUUCUGCCCCACUUCUUGCUUUUCGUGGAGGCUGUACUCAGAGUGGAGGGAUCAAUCCCUCCUGAACUUGAGAUCCUGGAAUCCUGAGUCUGAGCAUCCUCCAGAAAAACUCCCAUACCUUCUUCUGGUACUCUUAUUCCCAAACUGACAUCUCUUCUCUGAACAUCUGACUCUACUUCCCUCAUACUAGCUGACAUCCUUCUUGGAGCCAUUCCUUCUCUGCUUGCAUCAAAAGACCUUCCAGAGUCCCUUGAUGUUCCCCAUCUGCCGACUCCCCACGACUGCGCUCUUGGCAGAGCAGGGGGAAAGGUGUCCAAACCUUCCCUCUCAGAUGAAACUCCAAUCGAUUCCACAGAUCGACGAGUACCUCGCAUUCUGGCUCCUCUGAAGAACAACAUGCAAUCAUACAAGCAAGCAUUAGCAUCAUACGGUUCAUAUGAAAACACAUGAACCUGCAUAACAUACAUGGCAUAUCAUACAUAACAUUAAUGCACAUGCAUAAAUUCAUGGCAUUCCACAUCAUUAUCAUACAAGACAGGAUCCUACAUCCUAUCCUAGUGGACAUGAUUUUACCUAUUGUGCUUGCCCUUCUAUGACCUCUAAACCAACCUCUUUCCGAUGUGGGAUAAUUCUAAUCCUUGAGCAUCUUUGCUCAACACACCGUACUAACGAGGCCCAAAGCUCUGAUACCAAAUCUGUAACAGCCCGGAAACCGAUACCCUACCGUAACGGCCCAAACCGCCACCGGCGCUAGGAUCCAGAUCGGCUUAAGGCCGCCGGAACCCGUAGCAAGCCAACAUACAUACUAUUACCUGGUAAAAUCCCAUGCAUGAUCAAAACUUUAACAUAAAAACUUAAACAUAAAACCUGUAAUCUGAACAUACACCAAGCUUGAUCCGUAUGCUACAACAUAACUGUGAACAUAAACUUUCCCAUGCUAGAGCCCUCAUCAAAUGCUCUGGCUGGGUCAACAUUACAGACAUCAAGCCUGGUUCUCAUCUCAACAUUAAAACGUUACAUAACCAUGCAUCAACAGGGAUUAACCAAUCUAUAGGGCCAAGCACACUCCAAUCCAUAAACAUUAACUCUACUAUCAGUUACAUACAUUAUCUCAAUUUACAUUACAUCAACUUAUAUUACAUGUCCACUUCUAAAACUACUAAACUGUAACGUAAACAUAAACUACCACAUUACAAACACACGUCACUUAAUCUUUACCCUGCUGACUUCUGAGCUCUGACUUAAACCUGCAAANNNNNNNNNNNNNNNNNNNNNNNNNNNNNNNNNNNNNNNNNNNNNNNNNNNNNNNNNNNNNNNNNNNNNNNNNNNNNNNNNNNNNNNNNNNNNNNNNNNNNNNNNNNNNNNNNNNNNNNNNNNNNNNNNNNNNNNNNNNNNNNNNNNNNNNNNNNNNNNNNNNNNNNNNNNNNNNNNNNNNNNNNNNNNNNNNNNNNNNNNNNNNNNNNNNNNNNNNNNNNNNNNNNNNNNNNNNNNNNNNNNNNNNNNNNNNNNNNNNNNNNNNNNNNNNNNNNNNNNNNNNNNNNNNNNNNNNNNNNNNNNNNNNNNNNNNNNNNNNNNNNNNNNNNNNNNNNNNNNNNNNNNNNNNNNNNNNNNNNNNNNNNNNNNNNNNNNNNNNNNNNNNNNNNNNNNNNNNNNNNNNNNNNNNNNNNNNNNNNNNNNNNNNNNNNNNNNNNNNNNNNNNNNNNNNNNNNNNNNNNNNNNNNNNNNNNNNNNNNNNNNNNNNNNNNNNNNNNNNNNNNNNNNNNNNNNNNNNNNNNNNNNNNNNNNNNNNNNNNNNNNNNNNNNNNNNNNNNNNNNNNNNNNNNNNNNNNNNNNNNNNNNNNNNNNNNNNNNNNNNNNNNNNNNNNNNNNNNNNNNNNNNNNNNNNNNNNNNNNNNNNNNNNNNNNNNNNNNNNNNNNNNNNNNNNNNNNNNNNNNNNNNNNNNNNNNNNNNNNNNNNNNNNNNNNNNNNNNNNNNNNNNNNNNNNNNNNNNNNNNNNNNNNNNNNNNNNNNNNNNNNNNNNNNNNNNNNNNNNNNNNNNNNNNNNNNNNNNNNNNNNNNNNNNNNNNNNNNNNNNNNNNNNNNNNNNNNNNNNNNNNNNNNNNNNNNNNNNNNNNNNNNNNNNNNNNNNNNNNNNNNNNNNNNNNGGGCACUUUCGGCGGCACCUUCGACGGCCGAAAGUCCCUUCCAGAGACGAAACUCGGGUAAGUUCGGCGGCCGAAACCCCUGGACAGAAACGAAAGUCCCUCCUUCGGGGGCACGUUCGGCAGCCGAAAGGCUGCCUCCCAUGCAGGUUCGGCGGCCGAAACUCCUUUCGGCGGCCGAACCUGGUCCCCUCUGGACGACAGGUCCGAUUCUGCCUCGCCACAAACCAACUCAAAAACAACCCAAAACCUCACAUACUCUCUCCCAAUCAUGCAUACUCACUCCCAUAUGCAUAAAGGAGCAUAAACUAACAACAUAGCAUCACACUAACACAUAUAAACACACAUUGGGCAUCAAACCCACAUAAACCCAAACAUGCAUAUCUACCCAUACUCAACCAUCAAAACCUUCAUAAAACUUCAUAAAAACACUAGGGAAGCAAAGAUCUACACUUACCUCUUGAAGAUCGAGGGUUUGUGCGAGCUCUAACUUGGAGAUGGGAGGAACCAACUCCUUGGGUCUCCAAGUUCCCAAAACUCCUUUUUAAGCUUGAAAACUCUUCAAAUCAACCAUGAAACUCAUGAAAACAUGAAGGAGAUGAAGAAAAUCAUGAAAAUGACCAAAGCAGCACAAGAACUCACCUGAGCUCGAGAAUGGGGAGAAAACUCGCCCAUUUCCGAUCUGAGGGCCCUUUAUAGGUGUCCUGGUCGAAGACCUUCGGCGGCCUAACGUGCCCCCUAAACUCAUGCAUGUUCGGCGGCCGAACAUGAGUUUCGGCGGCCGAACCUUGGCUCGUUCAAACAAGACUUUCAGAGGCCAAAAGCACUCCCGAAGCCUUUCCAUGUUCGGCGGCCGAACUUGACUUUCGGCGGCCGAAUCUGGCAAAUGCCUCCUUGGUCUUUUCUUUUAAAAUCUAAAUUCUUUUUCAUUUAAAACCAUGAAAUCAGUAAAAACAUUUCAGAAAACAUAUUUUACCCUUCUAGAAGACUCUGACAUCUUCAGAGAUUCCAGAUUCCAACGGAGAUUCCGCCGGAAGAUAGGGAUUCCGAUGCCAGAAUCUAGCCGGGUAUUACACAACUCACCCUCAAAGUCUCCAAACUUCAAAACUUUGGUUUUUAGCUCAAAAGCUUCAAAACAAUCAUACAACUCAUCAAAACGUUGAAAGAUUUAGAGAAAACAUAAAGAUCACCCAAGGAAGAGCAUGGUCUUACCUCUGCCUGUGGAUGGAAAGAAAAUCUUAUCCAUUCACCGACCUAGGGCCUUUUAUAGGUGGCUGGCUAGACCACUUUCGGCGGCCUAACGUGAUUCCAAACUCAUGCAUGUUCGGCAGCCGAACUUCACCUUCGGCGGUCGAACCUGGCAUUUCUUCCUUGGUUCUUUUCUUUCAAAAACUCAUUUUCUUUUAUACUUAAAACAUUAAAACAUACUAAAAUAACUUUAGAAAAACAUAUCUAGUCCCCUUCUAGAGGGUGCCGACAUCCUGGAUUCCACCAAAAAGUAGAAUUCCGAUGCCGAACUCUAGCCGGGUAUUACAAGGAAUGUUGAAGGCUGAAAACUCAGGUAACCUAGAUGGAGAGCACAAUGAAGGAGACCCUAGAGUCCAUAGACAAACUCCAAGUAGACCUAGAUGAGGCCAAUGCUGCAAAAGUUACUAUUGAGGCUCGAGUCAAGACUGUCGAAGAUCAAGUGACUAAUCUUCAACGGCAACUACAUCUCAAGUGCAAGAAAGUCGAGCCUUAUCAGACAAGAUUGCGGAGCUAGAGGCAGAGCUUCAGGACACAAUGGCGCAGGGUGGUGAGAUGUUCCUCGAGUACUAAGACUUUGUCAAGAAGGAGCUGAUCAAACGUUAUCCUUUAGAAGACUUUUCUGGGAUCGAUGACAUUCUGCUUGAGGAGGAUGAGGAUGAGGAUAGGCAGGAUAAGGAGAGACCAACCGAAGAAAAUUACUCUGAUCCGGCUUCUGAUGAGAAUGUAAUAGCUGUAGAUGACACUAUAAUAGAAGAUCAGGAGGAGGCGACUGAAAAUGUCCCUCUUGCCCUGUAAUAUUUUUUAUAUAAAGAAAAAUAUUUCCUUUAUCUUCUUAUCUUUAUUUUUGCUAAGUAUUUAGGAUUAAUACUCAACUCAAAAAUAAAAUACUAGGACUCUUAACCAGUUGUUUUCACAGAUCAAUUGCCAAACUGAUAAAUAAAUCUUGAAUACCUUUGAAAAUUUUAUUAAUGGGACUAAUACCCGGUCAAAUAUUAGCGAUAACCUACCUUGUAGUUUCGACAUAAAAUGCCUUAAAUAAUUGUAUUAAGGGGACUAACACUCAGUCAAGUGUCUGGUGGUUAUUCGCCUUAUGUCUUUAACAUAAGAAAUGCCUUAGACAAUUUUGUUAACGAGACUAAUACCCGGUCGUAUGCCUGGCGGUUACCCUCCUUGUGACUUGACAUAAAAUGCCUUAAAUAAUUUUAUUAACGGAACUACAACCCGAUCGAAUUCCUAGAGUUACCCGCUUUGUGGCUUUGACAUAAGAAAUGCUUUAGAUAAUUUUGUUAACGAGACUAACACCCGAUUGUAUACCUGGCAGUUAUCCACCUUGUGGCUCGCUUGACGGCUAUUCACCUUAUAACGAUUUUGGCAGAAAUUUUAUUGAUUAGUUUUUUGAGACUAAUACCCGACAACUCACCUGGCAAUUACCCGCCUCAUGGCAAUUUUGGUAGAAAUUGCCUUGAUUAGUCUUUUGGAACAAACAACUGAAAACUCGCCUAGUGGUUACCCGCCUCAUAGCUUGCCUGGUGAUUAUCUGUCUUAUGGCGAUUUUUGACAGAAAUUGUCUUAAUUAUUGUCUUUUAGGACUAACACCCGGAUUUUUAACUGACGAUUAUCCGCCUUAUGGUAAUUUUUUAUAGAAAUUAUCUUAAUCAUUGUCUUUUAGGACUAAGACCUGAAGAUUUAUCUGGCAGUUACCCACCUCGUGACUUGCUUGGCGAUUACCCGUCUUGUAGUGAUAUUUGACAGAAUUUUUCUUAAUCAUUGUCUUUUGGGACUAACACCCAAAGAUUCAUCUAGCGAUUACUUGCCUCCUAACUCGCUUGGCAGUUACCCGCCUUGUGGUGAUUUUUGACAGAAAUUAUUUUAAUCAUUAUCUUUUGGGACUAACACCUAAAGAUUCAUCUAGUAGUUACCCGCCUUGUGACUGGUCUGGUGCUUACCCACCUUGUGGCAUUUUUUUAGCAGAAAUUGACCUAAUCAGUCUUUUGGGUCUAACACUCAAAGAUUCACCUGGCGGUCACCUACCUUGUGGCUUGCCUAGCGGUUACUCGCCUUGUGGCGCCUUUUCUUGUCCCAACACUUUCCCCAAUUCAACGUUUCUAAUAAUUCUAAUUUAAACGCCAAAAUACUUGAAAAAUAUAUCGUAAUUUUACUAAUAAUAUUUCCUUGAAUUACAAAAUACUCUAAGAAUGAAAAGUGACUCGGUCAUCUAACUUAACCGAUUUAUAAGCACCAGGACGAAAAACUUUGGAGAUCUUAUAUGGUCAUUUUCAGUUCUCGCCCAACUCACUAGACCUGACAUUCCCUUUGUUAUGUCAGACUAUUCAAGAAUUGGAUCCGUUAUGUUAAAGGCUCAGGGUUUGACUUAGGAGUUGAAUAUUUGUGACAUUCUAUUUCUCUAGGUCUUUGGUUCCCUUGUUCCCACUUGGUCCCCUUGUAAUUACAUGAAUAACCCCUACAAGUUCAUUUUCAUCAAGAUUCACUAGUGCUCUUACCUCAGAUUCUGACCUCCUUUAUUCUCUAUCUUUUAUAACAAAAAUCCUCAGACUUUCAUCUUUAAUGAGUCUUUCGAUCUCGUCUUUUAGUUGCAUGCAUUCUUUUGUAUUGUGCCCAUGAUCUUUAUGAAAUCGGCAAAAUGUUAUUCUAUCCCGCAUGCUCGCUUUGUUUGGUUAAGCUUGGCGGGCCAUUUGACUACUUUGCCAUUUUUCCUGAUCCACAUAAGUAUGUGUAUUCGUGAGUCACUUAGUGGAGUAUAGUUUCUAAACUUAUCUCUGUCAUUCCUUGUAACAGCCCGGCCCCGUACGACCGGCCCUGUUACCGCUCACAGCCCGUGACCUUCCUCUGGGCCCAGCCACUGUGAGCAGCUCUUAACAUCCCUUCACCCUCACGGGUUCCAGGCAGGAUUUGUCCCUCGGGGGAGCCAUUACGGCCCACCCUAGCCCGAGUGGAUUUGGCCCAAUUCCUUCCUCUGGGAAUUAGGUCGCCUCCCCCAGAGGAAGGAAUUGGGCCAAAUCCACUCGGGCUAGGGUGGGCCGUAAUGGCUCCCCCGAGGGACAAAUCCUGCCUGGAACCCGUGAGGGUGAAGGGAUGUUAAGAGCUGCUCACAGUGGCUGGGCCCAGAGGAAGGUCACGGGCUGUGAGCGGUAACAGGGCCGGUCGUACGGGGCCGGGCUGUUACAUUCCUACUGCGUGAUAUUGGAUAACUCCUUUCACUUUCAUAGCUUUGCUUAUCUGACUUCUGAAUCUUACUCUAGCCCAGCUUCUUGUCCUCUUUCAAGGUUUGAACUGCAUCAUCCAGCCGUAGGUAUUUUUGAGCCUUAUCCAUUAACUACUGAUAGGUGGUUGUUGGGUUCUUAAUCAGAGAAUCCAUGAACUUUAUAAGAUAAACUAUAGUUUACUCCCUCUAGUUUAAUGAAAUAUCUACUUUAGUCCUUAUAUUUUUAAAAAUCUAUAAUUUAGUCCUUGAAAAUUAAAAAAAAACUAUAAUUUAGUCCCUACUAUUAGAAGUAGAGUUAACUUGCCAUUAAUUUUUAUAAAAAGGACCCAAAUACCUUAGAAUUCUUGAGUUCGCAAAGAGGAAAUCAGAAGGACUAAACUGCUAAUAUUAAAUUUAUUAAAUAUUGUAGAGUUGAGUUUACGAUGAACACCAUCAUUGUGAUCUAACUAAUGCCCAAGCUCGACCAAGCCCGACAAUGGACCACAUUGACGCGUGCUGUUGCCGUGCGACGAUCGAUGACAUGACCUGGUCUGGCAUUGGCACAAGGCAUACAUCGGGCUGGUUGUUCUCGUCGGUGGAACCAACCAAAAUGAAUUUCAGUUUUCUUAUUCGUGAUUUCAACAAUCACAUGAGUGGUGAUGUCGGGAUGAGCCAUUAGCAGGGGCAUAAGUGUUAUGCGUCCCUCUAGUGUCUAGGCUGGCAGUGAUCCGGCUGUGAUGAAGGGGUUGUCAGCCAUGAGAAAGCUUGUUGAAUUGUUUCCUCUCUAAGAGUACUUUGGUCAUUUUUAUAAAAAUUAACGGCAAGUUAACUCUAAUUCUAAUGGUAGGGACUAAAUUAUAGUUUUUUCAAUUGUCAAUGACUAAAUUAUAGGUUUUUAAAAAUACAAAAACUAAAAUAGACAUUUAAUUAAAUCAAAGGGACUAAAAUGCAGUUUACCCAACUUUAUAUUGCGAGUCCUCUUUUUUAGUGCCUCACAAGCUAUCACAUGAUUUAAUUCUUCAAUCUGUAUUACUUUAAUGUUAAAACAUGAGAUAAAACUUCUUAAAGACUCGCCAUUUCCUUGUCAAAUUUUCCAUAAGUCUGAGGAGAGCCUUUUAGGAGGUAUACAAGUAAUAAAUUUAGAUUUAAAUAACAUAGCAAGCUGUGUAAAACUAUAGAUAGAACCUGAACUUAGAUGCUAGUACUAUUUCUGGGCCAAACCUGUGAGUGUGGACAGGAAGAACUCGUCACAAUAUGAAAUCGUUGACAUCCUGUAGCUGUAUUGUUGUCUAGAGGAUAGCCAGAUAACUCAUGGAGUCUAUUGUCCCGUCAUAUUUAUCCAAACUCGGCAGCUUAAACUUUAUAAGAAAAGUCUUUGCAAGAAUUUCCUCCGAUAGAUGUGAAGCAUUAUCCAGACCAUAGUCUUCCUCUUGCUUCUUCUAGUAUCUUUAUACAGCACGAAUCAGCUUCCAAUCAACAUCUUUGGGGGCCUCGUCCGAUGAUUUUUCAUCCUCCAAAUUGUCCUUUCCUUUGGAUUGAGUGUGAACUGCCUCUGUCCAAGUUUUUGGAGUCUCAAAGGAAGCUUCUUUCCUUAUUUUUGGAGCCAUAAAUGAGGCCUCCUUCUGAGCUUUAUGUUACUAGAGUUUCCUGCAGCUUUUUAAUAUAUUGUACUAUCUGCUCAUUGUUCAGGUUGUUGGGGUCUGCCUAUUGACCAUGGAAGGUGUGUUUUGUCCACUACUAAGGAUGGACGAGAUGAUGUCUCCCUUAUUGGCAGUAGACUUAGCAAUAGCUCAUGAGUUUUCAACCAUUUAAGGGUAAAGUAAUUGAAAUGAAAAGUUCUUUGAGUGAAAAGAUAGAAAGUUAGGUCAGAUUUUAUCUCAAAUGAACAAGAAAGAAUCAAUGGGAUUCUAGUAAUGGAACCAAAUGAUGUGGCAAAAAAUGAGUUGAAAAAUGAUUGGUCAAUCUGUAAAAGAUAGAAGGUAAGGCCACUCCGAUACUCAAAUCAAUAAUUUAUCACGUAGUUUGAGUUUAAGAAAAUAGUUUGAGUUUAAGAAUGAGUGUGUAAGAAUGCGUACCUUGAACUCUGCGUAUACUUUGUUUUUAUACUAUAAAAAUAUGGAGUUAAUUAGUAAAUCUCUUGGAAAUUCGAUUGGUACCAGGUAGUGGAUAAGGGAUCAUGCAAUUAUAGGCGUAAUUGAAUUCAAUCCUCUAACUGUAACUCGUAUAAUAAGAGGCUCAACCCAUUUAGGAGAGAGUGAGUCUUGUGUCAUUUUGAGUAUCGAUCGUUACAAUACCCGAUUUUUUUUUCUUCCGGAUGAGACUUCCGUGACUGAGUGUCAUAGCUUAGUGAAGUCUUACCACGUGACUCAGUCAUAUAGUAACAGCUUAUGACAUAUUUUAAAUGAAUAUUAUGUCAUAUUAAUGAAAAGAGGAUUUGAAUUCAUUUUAGUUUAAAUAUUUUUUUAAAUUUUUAAUAAAUUUAUAUUUUUGUAAAUUUUAACUAAAUUUUUUUAUUUUAUAAACUAAUAGAAUUAUUUUAUUUAUUCAUUAAUAAUUUAAAUUAAAAUAUUUAUUUAUAAAUUUAAUGAUUAAAAUUUGAACUAAAUUUAUUAAUUUAAUAGGUUCAAUAAUUACUAUGCUAAUUUUUUUAAAGGCUUACUGUUUUUUUUUCUUAGACUGUUAAUAUUUUAAAUUAAAUUUAUAAGUAGAUAAUUUUUUAGAAAAAAAUAUUAUUUAAUUUUAUAAUAUGAAAAAAUUUAUUAAUUAAUUUUUAAUUUUAAAAUAUAUUAAAAUAUUUUGAUAUUUUUAAAAGUUUAUUAAUUUAUUUAAUUAUUAAUUUUUUAUUAUUUAAUUUUUAUUAGUUAAUUUCUCUAAUUUUAAAUUUUUUUAAUUAGUUACUAAUUUCAGAAAUAAUUUAAAAUUUUUUAUAAUAUUUAAUGAUUAUUUUUUUUAAUUAGUUACUCAAUUUCAAAAGUAUUUUAAAUUUUUUUAUAAUAUUUAAUUAUUAAAAUUAAUGGAGAAAUGAAUUAAUAAAUUUUUUAAAAUAUUAAAAAUAAUUUAAUAUAUUUUUUAAAAUUAAAAAAUUAAUUAAUAAAAUUUUUCGGAUUAAGUUUUAAUUUUUUUUUAUUAGAUAUAAAUGAUUUUUUUUUAAUAUUUUUAAGAAAAGGGUGAUUUUCCAUCGAUUAAUUACUAUCUCAUUUUUUUAUUAUAAUUAAAUUUGAUUGGGUGCAAAAUUGAAACUUUUAGUUAAAAAAAAAUCUAAAAAGAAAAUAAAAAUCCUCGAAGCUAAAAAUAUAUCUUAAAAAAAGGGAAGGAGGCCCACGUCUUUACCAUCGGAACGUACAAGGAGCCACGUGUCCAAGCACAUUUCACACUCACUCACCAAAAGUCCCUUGACCAGGAAAGAGAAAAAAAACACUCAGCAAAAGUCUAGCCUUCGCUUCUCCGUUAUAUUCACGCAAAUUUUCUUCAGCAACCAAUUCUGAUGGCUUCUUCUUCUUCUUCUUCUUCUUCUUCCAUCAAUUCUCCAUGGAAGACGUAUGAUACGUUUAUAAGUUUUAGAGGCGCAGACAUCCGAGAUAAUUUUCUCAGUCAUCUGUACGAAGCUCUGAAUCGAAAACACAUCCGUACAUUCAAGGAUGAAAACCUUAACAGAGGAGAAGAGAUCACACCAGCCCUUUUGGAAACAAUUGAAAACUCAAAGAUUUCCAUUGUCGUAUUCUCAGAAAACUAUGCCUAUUCUCCAUGGUGUUUGGAUGAGCUUGUUAAGAUCCUUGAAUGCCAGGAAACUAAAGGACAAUUAGUAUUGCCAGUUUUUUACCAAGUAGAUCCCACAGAUGUUCAAGAGCUGACUGGUAGAUUUGAGGAUGCAAUUGCUCAACACAAACAAAAAUUCUCUUUAGAAAAGGUGGAGAGCUGGAGCCGCGCUCUGAUGGUGACAGCCAACAUUUCUGGUUGGGAUUCGGGAAAGACCAAGUGAGACCCUUAUUUUCUAUAUCUUUUUUUAACUUAUAUUUGUUUAUCUAUUUAUUAAUUUGCGGCACGUUUGAAUUACUGUAGUUUGCUGUUUGUAUGUGAUCAGGCCUGAAUCUAAAAUGCUUGAGGAAAUUAUCAGUGAUGUUAGCAAGAAACUGAGUAACUUGUUUCUAAGUGUUCAUGAUGAAGAGGGUUUUGUUGGAAUUGAUUCUCGUGUUGAGACAGUUGAAACAUUGCUUUGUCUUGAAACAGAUGAUGUUAGAAUGAUAGGAAUAUGGGGAAUGGGAGGUAUUGGAAAGACAACUAUUGCUGACAAAGUAUUUAGUAGAAUUAAGGAUAAAUUUGAGAAUCCAUGCUUUAUCUCAAAUGCCCGAGAAGAGUUAGAAAAAUGCACUCUAGCUGAUUUACGAGAUAAAAUCCAUGGAAAAAUAUUAGGGGUAGAGAAUUUUUAUAAAGGCACGCCAUUUACACUGCAUCCUUUCAUUAAAAGAAGUCUUCCAAAUGCAAGAGUUCUUGUUGUUCUUGAUGAUGUUGAUGAUUCCCAGCACCUUACAGACUUAGUAGGAGGGUUCAAUCUGUAUGGUCCAGGAAGUAGAAUCAUAGUAACAAGCAGAGACAAAGAAGUGCUUGAGACUGUAGAUUGCAAGAAAUAUAUUUAUGAGGUUAAGGAAUUAGUUUAUCGUGAAUCUCUUCAACUCUUUAGCUUGCAUGCCUUCAAACAAACUCAUCUCGCAGAAGGCUACAUGAAACAACUAUCAGAAAGAGCUAUAAGUUAUACACGAGGAGUUCCAUUAGCCCUUAAGGUUCUAGGCUGCAGCCUUUAUGGUAAAGAUGAGAAAGAAUGGGUAAGUGAGUUGGAAAAACUUGAAACUAUUCCCAAUAAGAAAAUUCAGGACAUUCUGAGAAGAAGUUAUGAUGGACUUGAUCGCAAUGAACAGAGUAUAUUUCUCGAUAUUGCAUGUUUUUUCAAAGGGGAAGACCUUCAGCCUGUAAAAGAUAUAUUAGAUUCAUGUGGUUUUUUUGCAGAAAUUGGAAUAAGGCGUCUGGUUGAUAAGUCUCUUGUCGCUAUUUCUGAAGAGAAGUUAAAGAUGCAUGACUUACUGCAACAAAUGGGUAUGGAUAUUGUUUGCGAGGAAAAUAAAGAGCCCAGAAAGCGUAGUAGGCUGUGGAAUGCUAAGGAUAUAUGUGACAUGUUGACAAGAGAUAAAGUAAGAAAAUGCAUUGAUUUCUUUCAUAUUUGAGUUUCUUUUUUCUUUUCAAAAAUGAGAGAUUUAGUUUUGCGAGUUUUGUGCUCAUUUUCUUUGCUUAAUUUCCUUUAUCAGGGGGCUGGAAGAGUUGAAUCCAUAUUGCUGGACUUGUCCAAAAUUGUAGGCAUGGAACUGAGCCCUUGUGUCUUUGAGAAAUUGUAUAAUCUUAGAUUGGUCAAAUUUUACAACCCUUUAUCUAGGGAGAUAAAGUUACAUCUUCCUAAAGGCCUGAAAUGUCUUCCAAAUGAGCUGAGGUUUCUCUACUGGGAUCAAUGCCCUUUAAAAUCAUUGCCGUCAAAGUUUCACCCCGAGAAUCUUGUUGAAUUGCACCUUCAUAGUAGCCAACUCAAACAACUAUGGAACGAAGAUGUUCCGGUAUGUUUGAGCAUGAUCCUUUAUGAAAUUGUCUAAAGAAACUUGAGGGUAAUAUAUUGAAACUUAUACUUAACCAUUUUCUUUGUCAUUACAGUGUCUUGAAAAGUUGAAAUUUAUGGACCUGAGCAACUCGGAACAACUGAUGAGAAUUCCAGACUUGUCUAAAUUCCCGAACCUUGAGGUUAUGUUUUUGAGAGGCUGUACGAGUUUGGUUGAAGUUUCUUCAUCUACUAAGUAUCAUAGCAAGAUUACAGGUCUAGAUUUUCGAAACUGCAGAAAAUUCAGCCAUCUUUCAAGCCGCAUUUAUUUGAUGAAUCUUGUAAGUCUUUCUUUCGAUGGGUGCUCAAAACUAGCGCAUCUUCCAAGUAGCUUAGGCGAGUGCGGAUGUCUUAAAAACCUUAAUCUCAUUGAAUGCUCAAAGCUAACGAGUCUUCCAAACAGCAUAUGCAAUCUGAAAUCUCUAAUGAAGCUUCUCAUCACAGAUUGUGUGAAUCUCCGUGGAUUGCCAGAGAACUUGGGGGACUUGGAAUCUCUGGAGGAACUGAUUAUUAGACGUGGUAUAAAGAAACUACCAUCUUCUAUCAAUCAGUUGAAGGAAUUGAAAUUCUUGACCUGUAAUGGGUGUAAAGGUUUGAAAUUGCCUCCUUUAACAGGUUUGGCCUGUCUUCAGUUCCUUUCUCUUGAGGGUUGUGGUAUAUCAGAAGUUCCCAGUAAUCUUGGCUCUUUAGGGUCAUUGGUAAAUUUAGUUUUAACUGGAAACAACUUCAGAAGCAUACCCAUAAGCAUCAUAGAAUGCUCUGGGUUGAAAGAACUUCACUUAGAAGAAUGCAAGAAGCUUCAAUUUUUGCCAGAGCUUCCAUCAGCUCUACGAUGGUUAAAUGCAGAAAACUGCACAUCCCUGGAAUUUCUAUCGAGCUCAUUCAUGCAAGGAUACACGAAUUCCUGUCUUUUGACGGAUUUUAGCAAAUGCAUUAAUUUGAAUCAGAGUGCAUACAGAGGAUUAAUGGAUUGUUUACUGCUGAAACUUCAAAGCAUGGGAAAGCCAGACGAAAAAUAUCUGGUCAAACAGGUUCUUCUCUUUCCCUCUAUUAUUAUAUAAAUGCAUCAUUUGAUAUAGAUUAUGAAUCCAAAAAAAAAAAAUCAAAUUAAUUUUACAAUUUCAGUUUGAUUUACUCUCAAAGUAGUUCGGUUUUAUCUGGUCUGAUUAUCAAUAUACUUUUUCUUUUGGAUUAAACUAAAGUCUUGAUGGUUGUUUAAAAAGUUUAUGCUUUUGUGAUAGUUUUAUAUGGUACCGGAUAAAUAUAUUAUAGUUUAUCAUAUGUAUGAAUUUUUUUUAAAAAAAAUUCUUAAAUAUAUAAGUAUUUGAUAUAAGAUUAUUUUAGAAUAAGUAAAUCAAAUUAUACUAUUUAAUAUAAAUUUUAUUAUCUUCAUUUUCUUAAAAAUGAGGGCUCUUAAAGUGUUAUGCCCCCUUAAGCCCAAGACCAGUCUUUGAUUUAACCCAGCCUACGGAUUACCACUGAGUUUGAGAUGGUCCCAAUAUAACGCAUAUUGGACAACUUGCUAUCAAUACAUGUUGCACUCCUAAGAAGUAACAUUUAAAGAUCAUGCUGGUAUGGGAGUCAAAUUGAAAUUAGGAGCAUGCCAACACUUAAUUCCUUACCACAACACCUGGUGGAGAGUCAAUUAUUGAAGUUUACCUUAAGGAAUUAUUAGGUACUGCUGUUAUUAACAAAUUAAUCUCUACAUUUUUAUAAACUCAUUACAACAUUCCUAACUUUUACCUUUGUUAACCAUAUAGUCUUUCCAUUCAUUUUCAAUCAUUUUUCCCAAUUAAGCUUGAUAUAAUUAUAAACUUCUAAAAUUACCCUCACAACUAUUACAACAUCUUCCAACAGGAUUGAAAUCUUCAUUCUUUUCCAUACCCAAGGCAGGGCUCCCAAUUAGCGGCAUGAGGUUGAAAUCAGUGAAUCAGAGGUUCCCCUUCAAUUUCACAUACUAGAUUCAACAGAAACACAAUUUGGUACAUCAUGGAGAGUUGGCGUAAUAUUUGUUUAACAAGUUGUUAGAUUGGGUGAGCAUUUGUUGACGAGGCCACUGCUUGCAAACAAUGACACAACUUUUUUAAUCAUGGCUAGAGGUCAUCAAAGAACAUUCUCGAGGACAUUUUCCAAGUUCCUGGUUAGGAUAUGGAGUUUGGUAUUUAGGUACAGAAUCAUGUCUAGACCUAGAAGUAGAACUAGAAGUACAAGUCUGGUUCUUGUUGGUGUACGAAUCAAUGGCGAUAACAAAAUCAGAAGGCAGAGAUAGGUUGUAGGAAUGCAACUCUUUCACAAUGCAUUUACAAGUAGUCGUCUUGAUUUUCAGAUUUCAAAGGCUACCCAUCCUAAUCUUUACUUGAAGUGGUUUGAUGGGAAGAAGAGAGUGAGAGCUGAGUGUUCAAAAUUCAGUAUGGCAGACAUAACGUAUGUAGGUGGUUUAGGUAUUGAGGUAUAAGGAUGUGAAUUAGCUUAGAAGAUAAGAGUAGUUUAAUCUUUUUGGUGGAUUUAGAACACCCAAAUAUAUUUUUAAAAAUAUAAAACAACUAUCUAAAAUACAGAAAAUAAAUAUUUAAAAAUGAAAAACAACUAUCCAGAAAACAGAUCAAGAACAAAUAGCAACCGUAAUUUCUGCAGAAAAUAUCAAAUGAAUAGCAACAAAAAAAAUCUUAACUUAUGACAAAGAUAGAGAAAAUCAACUUAAAUUUCAUUCCUAAAAACAAAGUAUAUACAAACAUUUUUUUUCUCUUUUCUUUCUCAUUUUCUCAGCUCUUCUACUCUCUUUUCCAGCACCCACCCUUUGCACUUACACUUUUCUGGCAAUAAUUCACUCUUUUAUAGGCAAAGAAAAGUCUUUUACAAGUUAGCAACCGUCUACCUAACUACAAGACAAAUCUUUAGCUAAAAUAUGAAGGCCCAUUCCUUUUGAACUAAUAACAUCACGUCAAAAAAUUUUCUUACAGAAAAUUUCAUCAAUUCCAACACUCCUCUUUGAUGAGAUUUUUGUUGGAGUCGAAAAAUAUUUUGGUUAUUACAUUCUCCAUGUAAGUUUCUUUAAGAAAAAAGAUCCCAUAGAACAAAAAUUGAAGUCUGGAAGAGCUUCCCAAUGAAUUUGAAGUUGCUAUUGCAUCUGCUACCCAAAAGAAUAUGAAGCUUAAGUAAUAAAUCCAAACUUCAAAUGAAGUAGCAGAAAUUGCAAAAUCCUAAUUGAGACAGCUUGAGACACAAUUUAUCAUAGCAGAAUAGAGGAAUCCAAAACAGGAUAGGAAUUUCUAUGAAGAAGAAAAGUCUAGUUUUUUGGCCAAAAUAGACAAAUGGUUUGUGUUCCAAGAUGAAAAAAGGUUCUGAUUCGAAUUCAAAACUAGAUUUAGAAGUGUCAUUUGUUGAAUGGAAUGUGAAGGCACCAUUGGAGGUCAUAUAUGAAGCAUACGAACGAGAAGGAGAAGACGAAGGAGAUGACAAUGAGAAUUACCAUAAUUUUGAUCUACCCAGGUUGCCGCUUCUUAAAGGUAGUAUACAUGGUUCCAGGUUUGGGUUAAUGUACAUGUUCUAGCUCUCCAACCCAUUAUUCAUUGUAAACUGUGAAGGAUGACGAGAGAUUGAGUACAACAAUGAGGUUGAGUAGCAGCAGCGAGCUUGACAGGCGAUAUAUUCAGAGGAAUGGCUGAAUGGCUGAGCUUGUGGGUUCUAUGAACCCAUUUAAUAGGAGGGUGGACAGAAGUUAACAUUUUGAGUUAAUUGAUCUAAUCUGUUUAGUAAAAGGGCUUGUUGGACCAAAAAUUUUAUUGGAGCUUAAGUGAAUUUUUCAAAAUUUUGCCUUGUAAUAAUUUAAUUCUAUUUACACAAAUAAAAAAAAAUAUUAUAAUUGAUCUAUAUGCAUUUUUAUUAUUAAUUAAUGAUAUAUAGGGAUUAAUAUGCAAUGUUAAAAUAAUAUAUCUUUAAAAACUAUUAUUAUAUUUAGAUGAUACUUGGAUUAGGGGGUAGCUGAUGGAGAUUUCAUACUCAGCAACUACUAUAUAUCUAUUUAAUAAAAGUGUUAUCAACCAUCAUUUAGUUGAUAGACCCCUAAAUUACUGCAGUUCUAAAAAUAGUGAAAUUAGAGUUAUUUUGUUUUCCUCAUACAUGUGGGCAAUAGACCCUAAAUUGCUGCAGUUCUAAAAAUUAUGAAAUUAGAGUUAAUCUUUUUUCAUUAUACAUGUAAGUGAUUUAUUUACUAAUUCUUUUUCAUUUUGCAGGCUGAUGCAACAAAUAUUUGUUGCAUAAAGGAGUUAUGCAUCCCUGGAAGUGAAGUGCCGGAAUGGAUGAUGUACAAAAAUGACUCUGGAUCUUCUUUAUCAUUCUCUUUCUCACCACCCCAUGCUACUCACUUCCUCAAGAUCGCUUUUUGUGCCCUAUUUGCACCCAAAGCUAAUGAUCCUCGUAAAUUCAUGUAUGUUGGAUGCAAUUGCCGGUUUAUGACCGAGUCCGGAGGCAUCCUUGAAGCGAGUUCUGGUUGCGCACUGGUCAAUAAGCAUCAUAUGUCCCUUUGGUAUUCUGCUAUUCAUUUUAACUCAAACAAAUUCUGGAUUACCAAAGCCUCUUUUCAAUUUUAUGCCGUUUGCGAUGAUCAGUUCUUUGCUAUUAUGGAUAAGGAAGAAUUUAUUAGCAAUGUCAUAAGCAAGUGCGGAGUUCAACUAAUAUUUGAUUAUAACUUGGAAGAUGACGACAAUAGACAAAGACUAUCAGCGAUGGUGGAUCAUGAUGAGGUCAUAUGCGAAGGGUUGUUCUUUACUUGAUUUUCUGGAAUGACCCCUCGAAAGAUUGAAAGAGAAUCAUCAGUUUGCAAGGUUUGGAUUUAAACUUUUCAUUAUCCCUUUUUAUCACCUUAGUUAUGUACCUGGGUUGUGCUUUUGAUCAAACCAAAGCCCAACCCACCCAGAUGGUGUUUGCUUUGAUGCUCAUGUAUGUGUGUUUUGAAGUUGCUUUAAUUCAAAACAUUCUCCCUCUCUUUUUGGAAUUCGCCAUUAAACUUGGUGUUACAGAAAUUCUGUUUUUUUUUUUCCUUUUUUAUUCUGUCUUAACUUUUAAGGAGAAAUGGUAACUUGAAUUUUAAAAUAUAUUUAUAAAUUGAUGUACAUGUAUUUCUAAAUAUGAACAUAAUUAUGCUAGGUGAUAAGGCACAAUUUUAGCAGAUAUUUCAGUCUAUCCUUAGCACUAAUAUGAGUAUUUUUCUAGUUAAUCUUAUGCUUUUUCUCGUAUUUUCACAUAAAAGUACAAGAACUUGCUAUUGAAUGAACAUUCUGAAAAAGCUGCUGAACAAGCCUUGACUAGUGACCGGUGAUGUGGGCGAUUUGGGCAAAUCUGCUAGUUGAUACUGUUUGCCUAGAGACAAAGUUUGCUCAAAAGCUCUAGGUAGAAAUUGCUGAAUGACUCGGUCAAUAUUGGACUAGAACUUGUUCAAACCUUCGGGAAAAUCUCCGGUCUAGAAAGCGCAACCGCCUCGAAAAAGAAAGAAAAUUAGAUUUUCUUAUUUAAGAUGCACAAUUCCAUGCAAUUUCACUCUAGAUUGUGUGGCAUGGUCUUUCACAAAGAUUAAGGAAUCUCCACCUCUCUAAAGAAUCUAAAGAAACUAAUGAAGGGAGUUAUUUCAUUGAAAAUAUUCAAAUCAAGACUUUUUAGGAAAGAUCACUAGGGAUUUCUACUAGGAUUCAACUGCUAUACAUACCACGUUUUUCGACUAUAGCAGAACAUCCUCUCUUCUGUUGAAUUUUUUUUUUUUUCUUUUGUGUUUUCUUUCAGCCAUAUGUGGUUAACUUUUUAGUUCUAGUUAGAGAUAGAUUGAAGUUUCAGUUUUUCAAUAGAUUGUGAGAUCUAAAUAUUAUUAUUUAUAAUUUAUUCUUUCAAUAUUUAUGCAAUUUCAGUUAUUAUUAUUAUUAUUAUUGCUUUGUUAAUUGAUUAAUAAGACUCGUUGUUUAUAUUUUUAAUAUAAUAUAUUAUUAGUUUGGAUAUAUUAUUAGUUUGGAUGCUUGAAAUCCGUAAUUGCUUGAGUUAUUUAACAAUAGCUAACAAUUAUUCUAAGCCACUAAAGAAUGCAUGAUCUAGUUUAAAUUUAUCUCGCGGGUUUUUUUUUUUUUUUUUUGUUAGAAUUGAGUCUCUCCAAUUCUUAAGACAGUUCGAUAAAUUAAAUUCAAUAGAUGUUGUUUGGGUUAUUUAUUCACUAAAAUUAAUUAGCGAACGUUUUUUAAUUAAUUAAAGAGAUUGGUGAUGAAGAGCGUCUUCUAUAACUAGAACUAAUUUAUUGGAGUGAAUAAAAAUAUUUCUAUUUUUAUGAUUAAUUCUCACAACUGAAAUGAAUCUUAUUCUUCACCUAAAAUUUAUUUGUAUUAUUGUCUAUCAAGUUUUGUAUUUGAUUUUCUCUUGAUUAUUGCCUUCUUUAAUCGUUUUUACUUUAGUUUCAGUCUUCAUCAAAAUCCUUUUUACGUUUCUUUUAUUCCAAGUUAUUGAUUGGAAAUUUACAGGAAAUUUAAUUUUAUUCGUCCUGUACACCAUUUAUAUUUCUAGAAUUUGGAUAGAUUAUUUUUUAUGGAUUUAACACUCAUCGCUAAUUCCUACAUUAAUACAUUAAUAUAAGGAAUUUUUUUUUAUUUUAUUUACCUUUUUGUUUCAGAUGCCCAAAAUUAGACUAGCACUAUAGAAUAGAGAUUUUUCAAUUGGCCAACAACUAACAGUGUUUGGGAACAAGAAAAGGUUGGUAAUUGGACAAGGAGGAGAGGAUGUUUGAUUUACUUUUAAAAUGCAGCUGAUUAGCUUAUAAGCAUUCAAAUAAUUUAUUUAUCUGUUUAGCAAACUUCUUAAAAGUUAGCCGAUAAUUAAUAGUUAUCUAUUAACUAUGUUUUUAGAGUUUUUUCUCAUUAGUUGAUAAUGACAAGGUUUUUUUUUUAUUUAGAUUAAUAUUAUUUUUAUAAUGUUUAUUAAUUAUAAAAAUUUUUUCUCUAAAUUAAUUUUUUAUACAUCAAUAUAAAUAAUUUUAAAAUAUAAAAAAUUAAAAUUAGUUAUAAUGUUUAUUCUUAUUUGAUAAAAAUAUUUGUAUUAACAAAAAAAUAAUUAUAUUUAUCAAAAUUAUAUUUUUGUCUUAUAUAUGUUAUAUAAUAAAUUAUUAAUUAUAUUUAUUUUAAUAAUAAAAUAAAUAAUAUGAUAUAUACUUUUAUUUAUUAUUUUAAAUAUCAACAAUAACGAUAGCUACACAUAGUUUACUAAAACUAGAUUAUAUUAACUGUAAUUAGCCAUCAACAAGCCGAUAUUAACUAUUAAAUGUGUCUAACAAUUAAAUCAAAUAGACAUCAAACCUAUUUUAAAUAUAUUUAUUUUUGAAGAUAAAAUUAUAACUUUAGAACUGGAUGGAGUGGCAAAAAAUUAGUGUAUAAUUAAAAGUUGUUUCAAGUUAUUGAAAUUGUAUAAAAAUCUACAAAUUGUGGAGCCCAUAUUUAAUUUGUUUAGUUUUUUUCUUGGUAGACACACAAGCUGAGGAACGAGAUUCGAUUGUUGUCAAAACUAUGACAAUUUUAAUAAAGUCUUUUGUCCUAUAUAAGUUUUACGUAUGCAUUCUCCAUAAUCGAUGUGGGAUUUUGUUCUAUAUAAGUUUUACACAUGCACUCUUCAUAAUCGAUGUGGAAUUCCGUGAGAUUAGUCUAUGAGGUACUCUCCUAAAAGGCCCUCAACCCAAGGCCCAUCACAUCGACACAGCUUAAAGGCUUUCCAUUUUUUUAUAAGAGAUAUAAAGAGAUACAUUCUUUUAAUAUAUAUGAAUGCAUAAUUUUUAUUUAAAAUUAAAGUCAUAAAUUACCAAUAUUUAGAUUUAAAUAUCGGGAUCUUAAUUUAUAUUUAGUGAUAAUAUGAGAUCUGGGUGUUACUAGUUGAGGAUUCCUGGACAAUGGUUUGAUUUUGUGAGGAAAUUAAUGGAUUGAGAUUAGCUCAAUGAAGAGCAAAUGCAUAAAAUAAAUAAAAGUUAAUAAACUAGUAUUGAGUUUGAAAAGGUUAAGAUUUCUUGAAGAAAGGCAAGAUGGUGGAUUCAGUGAGGCUUAUGAAUGUUCUCCACUCUGGCUAUGCCAGGGAUAUCCUUGGUCACGCUGACUUUUCCUAGGACACGUCCCGUCGAAUAUGAUUGGUGGUUUUUAGCAGGUUUUUAGACCGCUCAUUAUAAUAAAGAGCUCAAAAGUUUGGAAAAAGACACAGGGCUAAAGAGUUCGAAAGAUGAUAAAGAGUUAAGUACCUGUAAACAAAAUAAUUUAGGGCUAAAAGUGCUCAAGACAUCAUUUCAGGUUAAAGAACCAAGAUAGCAUAUUUAAAAUCGAAAAUUCAAAAACUACAAGCUAAGAAAAAAGAAUCCUCACUAAAGAAUAAAACAAAUUGAUAGCAUAAAAGAAAAAGUAAAAAAUAUCACAACUAUUCAAAAAUUUUACAACACGGAUCAAAGAUCUCAUAUGUCUACUAGCGAUAAUUAUUGUUACAAUUUUUAUCAAGUAAUUUGCUUAUUACUCCACUCAUUUACAUGAAUCUUAAGUAUCGUUAUCUCGACAGGUCAUUCGGACAACCAAAAUUAUGAAUGAUCUCCUGACUUUACGAACCAUUAAGAUCUCAUAUAAAGAACAGGGCUAAAGUAUAUACCCAAUAAAAUACCAAAAUCAAUAGAAGGGCAUCGAAUAGUAGACAAGAAACAAAAGCAAUUUCAUUAAUAAAAAGAUGUAUGUUAUGAGAAACUAGAAACUAUGUACUAUCAAGGGCAAGGCAAAAACAAGCCUGCUACAUAUUUAUAAAUAAAAAUUACUCUUGAAUUUUUUUAGAGAAAACAAGUUCACUAGCUAGGUCAAGCUUGACUCUAGAGACAGCAAGAGUAGCACGAGCAGUCUCGACAGUCAGGUUUGUAGUAAUGGCACCUUUUAAGGGAGAAACUUAAGCAUUUAUAGCCUCUAAAGCAGUGAGAUUGUUAAUCAUUUUACUAGUUAAAUCACUAUCCUUCUCUGAGAUACUAUGAGAAAAGGAGGCAGGGGCCUUGGAAGCCGAGGUCUUUGAAAUAGGAGUCUUGGCAGGCUUCUCAAUUGAUAACUUGUUAGGAUCAUACUGCAUGUCUUCACCAUUAGAAUCGCACUCAACCAAUCGGAGAGCACUGAAAGGCUUGUUUGACUCAUCGCGAUUGGCGUUUAGUCUCAAAUUUUAGCCACUAGCAUAAAAAUGCAUAGCAGAGUUAAGAAUUUUGGACUUGUGCUCAUUAGACUGCAGGCCUUUUUUAUGCAUGGUCCUGACGACGCCUUCAAUUUUGUUAUACAUAUCCACUGUGGCUGCCUCAUAUUCUUUACAAUGAGCAGAGUGUUCGAUCACCUUUAAUUUAUACUGAUUUUUCAUAACUUCACGAGUGUGAGCAUUUUCUCAAGACUUUUCCAAAUAAUGAUGAGCUUGUUUCACAUAUUGACACAUUUGAAAGCUCACCCUCGAGACUUUAAAUAAAUAAAUAUUAAAACCUUCUCCUAACCUCAACAUAGAGUAAGCAUCUGUUAAUCCCUAGACUAUAUAGCCAAUUUUGAUUAUCAUUAAAACCUUCUCCUAACCUCAACAUAGAGUUAAGCAUAUGUUAAUCACUAGACUAUAGAGCCAAUUUUGAUUAUCAUUGCACAUCACGCUACAUAUCAUGCAAAAUAGUUAGCUGCAUCAUCUCCCUCCAUCCCACAUCGAAAAUAUAUGAAGAUAGAGGGUGGAAUUUCUCUGUAAAUAAAAAUUCUUUCUAUUGUGAUUUAAAUCAAGAUCUUAACUAUAAGAAACUUUUAAUAAAUAAAAAAUAUUUAAUUUUAUUUAAAAUCUCUUUAAAUCUUCAGAUUUUUAGUUCAAAAUUUAAAUUUAAAAAUUUAAAUUAGUUAGCUAAAGUUUAAAGAAUUUGUUAACUCCUCAAAUUCGAGUUUAAAUUUUAUUUAAAUAAUAAAUAAACUUAUUAUGAAUUGAAUUAUAAUUUAUUAAUAUAUUUUUAUAAAUUGAAUCCAAAUUUAAAAAUAAAGCUCAGAUCAAAUUUGAACUAAAACUCUGAGUUUUAAAAUUUUUUUAUUAACUGAAUAUAAACAUUUUAAAUUUAAUUCGACGUAAUUUAAUUUUGCCACUAAUAAUUUUGCAGAAAUAAUACAGGUAUGUAGAAUUGAAAAUUUAUUGUCAGAGAUUUAUGCAAGUGAGGGAGAAUAAGUUUUCAGGUAAUAAUUGAUUAUUUUUUAUUUUGGACAACUAAAAAAGCUUUUCUACGAUAUUGUCUUUUCAAAAAUUUGUCAUCUUUGUAAAUUACAGAAGUGUUUGCAUCAGCAAAUGUUAAUAGAGUAACGGAUCAAACUACUAGGCACCAUUAAUGUAAAAUCUUUAUUUAUAAUUAUUGAGUCAAAGUCUCGAAAACAAAAUCAAUAAUUCACACUGUAUUUUUCAACUAUUUUUACCUAAUAGAUUAAUCUACUAAAAAGAGAAAAAUAAGACUUCAAGAAAUGAGAGGAAAAAAAAACCCUAAAAAUAAAAGGAAUAGAACACUAAUGUUGAGAGAAAAAAAAAAUAUCUAUUAAGAAUAAAUAUAAUAUUUAUUUGAAAGAGAUAUAAAAAGAUGCAAAAAUAAUAAUAAUAAUAAUGUAAGAGGAAUCUCAAAAAAGAUUUUUUAUGGUCCAAGGUAGGAAAAAAAUAUUUAAAAUUCAAUAGACUAAGAAAAUAAAAAUUUCAAACUAUAUAAUUUCAUUAUAAUAUUUUUUAUGCAAUUUUUCUUAUAUACAUAUUAAUUAUAUUUCAAUAAUGAUUUAAUUUUUAAAAAAAAUCUUUGAGAAUUUUAUUAAUAUUUCUAUAUAUAAAUUUUAUCAAUAUAUUUUAUUUUUAAAAUAAAAUAAAAUAAUAGAAAUAAAUUAUAUUAUAAAAAAUAUUUUUCAUAAAAAAUAUUUUUUAAAAUAUAGAAAAUAUUUUCUAAAUAUAAAUUUUCUUUUUUCAACAAUUGGAGUGAGAGUGAGAAAUUCAUUGGGGCCAUCUAAAGGAAAUUUUUUCGAUAAAAAAAAAAAAGCAAAGCAAAGAAUCAUCUUUGAUUUUGUCUUUGCUCCUUAUACUCGGUUUGUUUGCACCGUCGGUAGUGUAGGUUGAAUGAUAAAGGACUAUUUAGACUCUGUCAGGAGUUUUAAUAAAUAUUGUUUGGUUAAAAUGAAAUAAGAGAAAACAUAAAUUAGAAGACUAAAACUCUUACUGAAAUUACUCAAAAAUUGAAAACUCAAUUUCUAAUAGUUAAGAAAGACUAUUUAUAAUAAAAAUAAAAUUUUAAUAUGCAAAAUUAUGAAAAUAUUCAAAAUAUCUAAAAAAAUAAUUAAAAUACAAAAUUGAUAUCCUAAACGAUGGAAUUUCCAUAUUAAACUUUGUGACCAAGCCUAUGGUCCUAGUCAUAUUUUUAAAAGUUGUGCGUCUCGAAAUUUCUUUUCAAAAAAACUAUCGUGGAUCUCUAUCGGACGUCGGUAGCAAAAAUUAAGUCCGGUCCAAAUCUACCGUAAAAUUCAAGACUAAUUACUCCAUGUCAUCAAGAUAUAAACUUAAAGCUACAGCUUAAUUAUUUUUGUCUGUACUUUUUUUUUCGAUAAAACUUUUACUUAAUUAUCAAAAUAAAUAACUUUAAACUAUAUAAAGUUAAAAAUAUUAAAUUUUAUUUUUAAGUUUAAAUUUAUAUUUAAAUUAUUAUUAAAAAAUAAAUAAAUCUAAAAAUAUCAAAUAGAAUCUCAAUAUGAUGGUUUUAUUUAACUUUUUAAUAAUAAUUUAAAAAUAAAUUUAAAUUAAAAAAUAAAAUUUAAUAUUUUUUACUUAGGGGCAAAUUAAUUUUUUAGCCAUUUUAAUUAAUGUAAGUUGUAGGACUCAUCAUAUAUUAUUCUUUGUAUUUUUAAAAGCUAAUAAUUAAUUCUUACAGUUUCGAAAAACCAAUAAAUUAAUUUUACCAUAAAAAUAUGAUAAUUUAUUAUUAUUAUUAUUUAAAGGAUAAAAUGCUGUUGGUCACUCAUAUUCUCUUCCUCAUCUCUUCCAUUGUCUCUUUCCAGAGACCUAUCCAGGCUCCCUUCAAUUUAAUGCACUACAACAUUUUCAUUCUUUAUAAUUUAAAAAAAUAAUAUUUCUUCUUUUUUUAAAAAAGUAUAGCUACUUUUUUCUAUUAUUAUUGAAGUAUAAAUAAAUUAUAAAUCACUUUAGGAUAUUAGUUUAUUUAUUAAUUUUUAAUAUAUUAAAUAUCAGUAUUUUUUAAUUUUAAAAAUAAUUGAAAAAUAUAAAUAAAAGUAUGUCAAAAAUAAAAUAUAAAAUUUAAUUUAAUUAAUUAAUUAUAGAAUUUUAAUUUAAACUAAAAUAAUGAUAAGUUUAUAUUUGUGGUAAAUAUUAUAUCCUUUCAAGUGUUUGCCUUCGAGGUCCGUGCACUUCACUUCGGCAAGCACUGCUUAGAUCUCAGACGCUCCAAUUGCUUUCUUUCCCAUCAACACAAGCUAAUUAAAACUAUUAUCAUUCGUUUCCCUUUCUAAUGGAGGAUGGAAUUUCAGAUUCAUCAGUACCAGUUGCUUUGAUCGUGGGUGUGACGGGCAUGGCAGGAUUGAGCUUGGCAGAAGCUCUGAAGAAGCCAACAGUACUCUCAUCAUCUGCUACAAAGUUCCCAUGGAAAGUGUAUGGAGUAGCUAGACAACCCUUGCCAAGCUGGUUCCCUUCUUCUUUGCUUGACCAGUUCAUAUCAGUGGAUGUCCUAGACCAAACCCAAACAAUCCAGAAACUCACUCCUAUAUCCUCUCAAGUCACUCAUGUCUUCUGGGUUGCCCUCCAACUUCGUGAAACUGAAGAAGCUAAUGUUACUCUGAAUUCUAUCAUGCUAGCCAACGUACUUGAUGUGCUCAUAUCUGCCUCUCCUUCUAGGCUCAGGCAUAUAACCUUGCAAACAGGGACAAAGCACUACCUGGGUCCGAUAUUUGAUCCUCAACUCGCAGACAACCUUGUACAUCAUGAGCCACCAUUCGAGGAGCACAUGCCUAGGCUCCCUUACCCAAAUUUCUACUAUGCUUUAGAAGAUCUAGUGGCGUCCUACUCGCCUUCCAUUACAUAUUCUGUGCAUCGAUCCUCUAUAAUAAUCGGUGCAUCUUCAAGAAGUUUUCAUAACUGUCUGCUCACUUUAUGUGUGUAUGCGAACAUUUGUAGGCACAAAGGGCUACCCUUCAGGUAUCCUGGAAGCAAAUACACAUGGGAGCAUUUCUGUGAUAUGACAGAUGCCAGAGUUCUAGCAGAGCAACAUAUAUGGGCAGCGGUGACAGACACAGCUAAGAACCAAUCUUUUAAUUGCACUAAUGGUGAUGUUUUCACUUGGAAAAGGUUAUGGAAGGUCCUGUGUGAGAUGCUUGAUGUUGAAUUUGUGGACUUUGAUGAGAAUGAAAAGUUUGAUUUGGUUGAGAUGAUGAACGAUAAAGGAAAAGUGUGGGAUGAGAUUGUUAAAAAGUAUGAGCUUUUUAAAACUAAGAUGGAGGAUAUUACUUGUUGCGAUGCCGUUAAUACGGUGUUGCAUUUCAAGCUUCAGCAUGUUUGCAGCAUGAAUAAGAGUCGUGAAAUGGGUUUUCUUGGAUUUGCUGAUACUCCCAAGAGCAUUCGGAUGUGGGUUGGGAGAUUGAGAGACAUGAAAAUCAUUCCUUAAACAUGGCAUGCUUUUUUACCUCUGUUUUAAGGAUUGUCUGAUGCUCUCUGUUGUGGUCCUUUGCUUUCCCCUUGGGGAUUACCGCUGAGUGCUUUUGCAGAGCUUCAUAUUCUGCUCCUGCAGCGGUAAUUGCCGGGAUCUAAGGCAUGGGUCAUCGAGCUGUUGAUCACCUAAUGCUUCCUGUUAUUCUGUUUCUGAUUGUAUCCGUGUUGUUCUGUCGUUUUGGUAUUUUUCAUCUGCAGGGUUUUCUCCAAGGUCUUACCUUGUAUUUUGUUUCUUUAAUAAUAUUUUCUAUGGCUUAUCAAUAAAAUAAAAAGGCCUUUUAUCGUCUUUCAAACUCAUUAUUGAUUGAUAAUUCUGCAGACAAUUCAUCCAGUUUCGUUGUAUUACAGCUCGUUUUCUUAUCCUUUGAGAUUUUGUUUUAUCUGUCCCUGCUUCGCAACGAGUGGAGAUCAAAGGCGCACUGCAUUUUUCGUGUUUCAAUUGAUUUUUGUACGUUUUCUUUUUUUAGGUAUAAUUGGUUUUACAGGAACUCUGUCCCCAGAAAAAUCUUCAAUACUAAUGACCUGAACAGAAAUUAUUAGUAGAUCCGAACUUGGAUCCAUGUGAUUUUUUUACCGGAGAAGCCACUUGUAUCUAAAAUCUAUUAGUUCUACUUAUGUUUUCUAAUUUACCCCUACCGCAAUAGAGGCCAAUAAAAUUUAAGCAGAACUUGCUAAAUCACAAAAUUAUCUAAUGGGAGCAAAGGCAAUUAAAUAUCUGUGCCAGCCAAAGUGAGAGUUCAUCCAAAUCAAACUGUUUUUUAUUGAACUUACAAUCUGUUAAAGGAGUCUUGACGAGCUGAAUUGAUUUUAAUUAGAUAAACCUUCCCCUAGUAAUCAUCAUCCAGCAUGAAUGCUCCAACCAGUAUAUUCUUUUCCCAAAAGAUAUGUUUAUUUCUACUACAUGGGUGGAGCAAUAUGUACAUCUCGCCAUAUCCACCAGUAAAUCAUAGCCAACACCUGGAACAAAGGAAAUUCCACAAUCAUACACACCUUAACAGUAUUCAUGUUCACAGCACUAACAUUACUUUUGUAAAAAGUAGCAAGAGACAUAUUAUGAGACAGAAGCGGGAAAUAUAUUAUGCACAGACGCACAUCUUUUUCCCAAAAGCGAUUUGCGGAGUUCAAUAAGCUUCAGUCUUUAUCGAUCGUAUUAGAGGGACCCAAUAGGUUUAGGGAUUGUACAUUGAAGAGCCUCCAUGAGAGUGAGACACAGGUUUAGAGAAUAUCCAGAUAUGAGGAUAGUUAAGUCUUUUUAAGUUUGAGUAACAGUAAAAAGAUUAAAAAUAACGGCAUUCUUAAGGUGAUUGCAAUCCCUCUUUAACCCUAAUGUUCUAAUUUUCCUAAAAAGGAGAGGGUAAAGAUUGCGUCUGCCAAAACUUCAAUUCAAACAGGAGCUGAAGGCCAUAUCGCGACUUUAGUUAAGGGUUUAUAUUGAAAUAUUAGUUUAUUUUAGUUUUUAGAAGUAUUGUUUAAACUUGAAAAUAUUUAUAAAUGAUAUUUAAUAUGUUCAAAAGCUUAUUACCUAAUUUUUUGUGUUAAUUGGAGUUUUAAGAGUUAUAGUGAAUUUCUAAAACAAAGAUUCUAGUUUUGAUAUUAAAAUUUUGGGUUAAGUAGGUUUGUUUCGGUAGAAUUAAUAUUAUUUUGAGAUGAAGUAUGUUGUUAUAGAAUAUUUAAUUAUUUUAAAAUUUUUUUAAAGGAAUAAAUAUAUCGGUAUAAAUAUUUUGAUUGAGAUUUGGACAAUGUAAUGAUGGUAUAAAAUUUAUAUUGUGAUGAACUAAGAUUGCAAAUCUAAAUAUUUGGACUAUAAUUUGAUUAUAGGUUUGAUAAGGGCAAUUGCGUUUGAGAUUUCAUAUGGAUCCCUUUAUAUUCGAUAUUGAGAAAGAGACCCGUAAAAUAUAGAAAAAUGGUCAAAUAUCCUAGUGGAGACCGUUUGACAUUCAAGUAAGAUCUAAAAUUUUUAGAGUGAUAUAUUAAUGGAAAAAGAUACAAAGAAAAAUAAAAUAGAGAAGAGAUUGAGGAAACUCCGGAGAGAAAAGAGAGAAUAUAUGUUUGAGUAUACAAGAGUGAGUCAGAGGGAUUUGAGAGAUGCGGGAAUCCCUUCUUUGGGUUAGAUAAGUGGUAUAUAUACUAAUUGAUUGUUUUGACAUCCCUUGAAUCAUGUCCCAUAGACUGGAUGGUAAUAUCUUAUUGUAGGCGUGUUAGACGACUUAUUAAUAAUGGAUAGUUAGUUAAUAAAUACAAAGUCGCGAGCCCAUACCUCGUCUAUCACUAGUGUUACAUCAGUCUAGUCUAUUUUACAUGUAUGUAUAUUUAUGGGCUCGGCGAUGCAUCAAGGAGACAAUCAUUGCAUAGGAGUUUGGCAUCAUACCCUAAUCUCAUUAGGUCGUACUCGGCUCGCUCAAUCUAUAUUGAGGUGAGUCCCUCUAAUCACUUAUGAUUGGUCGGGCUUGCAUCUAUUAUCGAGUCUCGAAGAAGUCUAUUCGUCCGUUUCGGACUUUGACAUAAUCAGACGCGUUGUUCUGAUUUUUAUAUCUCAUAGGCUGUAAUAACUUAUCCAUUUCCCUUAAUCCCAAGUUUGCAAAACGAGAAUUAGUUCAGGAGUUCAACAGUGUUUUAUGGUAUAGUUCUGAUAUAAUAGUAUAGUUGUAGAUAUGUAAUAUUUUGUAGAUUAGAAUUGUAUUUCGCCCGAAUUUUCUUUUAUAAUCCCUUAUGGUCUUACUAUAUAAAAAUUUUAAAGUUUGAGCUAUGUUUGAACCAACUGGGUAUAUAAUAAUGACCAUAUUAAAGCAUUUGAUGAGGAUUUUAAUAUGAAUUUAUAUUUUCAGAUAUGUUUGUAUUGAGUUUUAGUUCAUGAAAAAUAUUUUUAUAUAUUUUAAGAUUAUGUUUGAGAUUUUAUUAAGUGUAACAGGAUAUAUAAUAGGAUUGUUAUGGACUCUAGUAGCGGUUUGAUUUUCGGAUCAUUAUAUAGGAAAAUAAGGAAUGUAGUAUAUAAAUAAGUGAAUCAGCAUUGGAUUUAGUAUCAAAUUUAAUCCAUUAUAAAAUUUAAAAAAAAAAUACAGGCGAAUAAAAAUAAAAAGAUGGUAUUAUUUUUUAAAUUUUAGUAAUGUGUUCUCCGAUCCAGAUUAAUAAUGAAUUUAAUAACAGAUUAUUUUUUUAUUAAAUUACAAAAAAAAAUAUAAAAUUUUAAAAUAAAAGCGCCGCAUUUUUCUCUAAAUUUUAAUAACAAAUUCCCUAAUCUAUAGUAACUUUUUGAAUUAGUAACUGUUUUUAAAUUAACAAGAAAAUGUAGAAUUUAAAAAAAAUAAUUUGAUGUCUAAAAAAUUGUAAUGAAUUAAGUCUGCUAUUAAUUUUAUAAUAGAUUAUAUCCCUUAUUGAAUCUGUAACUAUUUUAUUUAUUUAUAUUUAAAUUAUUUAUUUAUUUUUAAAUAAUUUAUUUAACAAUUAAAAUGUAAUAACGGGUGCAGAUGAAUUACUAAUAUUUUGUUAAUUCAAUAAUUAAUUAGUAACGGAUUUAAAAAUGAAUGUAAUAACGAAUUGAAAUCUAUUAUUAAUAUUUUAUUAAUUUAGUAAUGGAUUAGUAAUCGAUUUUAAAAUUGAUUAUUAAAUUUACCAAUAAUUUUAUUAGUAACAAAUUUUGUAAUUAAAAAUCAAAUACAUUUCAAGUAAAAAAAAAUUUAUGAAUUAAACAGUUCUAGAUUUUAAAAACUAUGUUUCUAAUAAUAGAAAUAUAUAAAAAAAGUUAACUUUAAAAAUUUUAAUUUUACAAAAAUUAAAACAAUUUCUACACAUUAUUUUAUUUUUUCAGCAAUAUGAAUAAUUUAAUUUAUUUAAAUUAAAAAGUCAAAACAAAAACUUAAAAUAAUUUUUUUAAUUAUUUUAACUUUUUUAAAAAUAUUACUAAUUUUAAUUGCGCAAGAAUUAAAAAAGUUAUUACAUCUAAAAUAAUUACUGAAGUAAAAUGUAUUAUAGAGAUAAAAAUAUGGCUAAUUUAAAUUUUUUAAAAAUUAAAAAAUAAAAAUAAUUAAAUUAAGAUAUUACAUUUCUAAUAAUAAUAAAAUUAUAAAAAAUAAUUAAUAUUAUGUCUAAACUAAUAAAAAAAAAACUAAAGAAGAGAAGAUAGAGUUAGGGUUAGAAUAUAAUAAUUGGAUGAAAAAUAAUUAUUUGUUGGUUUAUGAAUAAAAAUAUAAAAAUUGAAUAAAUAUUUAAACUAAUUUAAUAUUGUUAUUUUACUAAUUUUAUUAAUUGGAAUUGGGUGACUUAGUUGAAUUUAAUGGAUUGAUCCAACCCAUGAAUAUUUCUAUUCAAGAGUUUUAGUGGUAAAAUCUCAAUGGUAAAAUCUCAAUGGUAAAAUUUUAAGGGUGAGAUUUCAUAAGAUAAGAUCUCCAAAGAUAAGAACUCUAAAGUAAAGUCACAAAUGUAAGACUACAAAAAGUAAGAUCAGAAAAUAAGAAAUAAAACCUCGAAAAGGAAAACUUUAUAAAUCAAAAUUUUAAAGUUUUGAAAUUUUAAUUUUAUUUUUUAAGAAGACCACAUUUAUUUUAUUAAUUAUAAUCAAUUUCAACUUACGGUGAAAAUAAUUAAUUUAUUAAGAAUUUUUUAAUUUUAUAUAAAUAUAAAAUAUACUCUCUUAAUUUAAUUUAUAUUUAGUCAUUUAAUUUAUUUGAUUGAAUUAGAGAACGUAGACAUUUAAUAAUAUAAAAAUUAUUUAAAUUAAAUAACGUGGAUCCCAUCAAAAAAUAUACUAAAAGAAUAUUCUACACCCCAUAAAAAACAUUAGUUAAGUUAAGGAGGAGUUCGACAAAAAAUAAAAAUAAAAAUAUUAUUGUUAUAAUGCCAAUAUCGUUUAUGUGGUCUCAAAUAUUAUAUGCAUUCAAGUAUUUGCCUUUGAGCUCCCUGCACUUCACUUCGGCUGCUUAGAUCUCAGACGCUCCAAUUGCUAUCUUUCCCAUCAACACAAGCUAAUUAAAACUAUUAUCACUCGUUUCGCAUUUUAAUGGAGGAUGGAACUUCAGAUACAUCACUACCAGUUGCCUUGAUUGUGGGUGUCACGGGCAUGGUAGGCUUGAGCUUGGCAGAAGCUCUUAAGAAGCCAACACCACUCUCAUCAUCUGCUGGAAAGUUCCCAUGGAAAGUGUAUGGAGUAGCUAGGCAACCCUUGCCAAGCUGGUUCCCUUCUUCUUUGCUUGAUCAAUUCAUAUCAGUGGAUGUCCUAGACCAAACCCAAACAAUCCAGAAACUCACUCCUAUAUCCUCUCAAGUCACUCAUGUCUUCUGGGUUGCCCUCCAACUUCGUGAAACUGAAGAAGCUAAUGUUACUCUGAAUUCUAUCAUGCUAGCCAACGUACUUGAUGUGCUCAUAUCUGCUUCUCCUUCUAGGCUCAGGCAUAUAACCUUGCAAACAGGGACAAAGCACUACCUAGGUCCGAUAUUUGAUCCUCAACUCGCAGACCAGCUUGUACAUCAUGAGCCACCAUUCGAGGAGCACAUGCCUAGGCUCCCUUACCCAAAUUUCUACUAUGCUUUAGAAGAUCUAGUGGCGUCCUACUCGCCUUCCAUUACAUAUUCUGUGCAUCGAUCCUCUAUAAUAAUCGGUGCAUCUUCAAGAAGUUUUCACAACUCUCUGCUCACUUUAUCUGUAUAUGCGACCAUUUGUAAGCACAAAGGGCUACCCUUUAGGUUUCCUGGAAGCAAAUACACAUGGGGGCAUUUCUGUGAUAUGACAGAUGCAAGAGUACUAGCAGAGCAACAUGUAUGGGCAGCGGUGACAGAUACGGCUAAGAACCAAGCUUUUAAUUGCACUAAUGGUGAUGUUUUCACUUGGAAAAGGUUAUGGAAGGUCCUGUGUGAGGUGUUUGGUGUUGAAUUCGUGGACUUUGACGAGAAUGAAAGAUUUGAUUGGGUUGAGAUGAUGAAGGAUAAAGGAAAAGUGUGGGAUGAGAUUGUUAAAAAGUAUGAGCUUUUUAAAACUAAGAUGGAGGAUAUUACUUGUUUCGAUGCCGUUAAUACGGUGUUGCAUUUCAAGCUUCAGCAUGUUUGCAGCAUGAAUAAGAGUCGUGAAUUGGGUUUUCUUGGAUUUGCUGAUACACCCAAGAGCAUUCGGAUGUGGGUGGGGAGAUUGAGAGACAUGAAAAUUAUUCCUUAAACAUGGUCUGCUUUUUUACCUCUGUUUUAAGGAUUGUCUGAUGCUCUCUGUUGUGGUCCUUUGCUUUCCCCUUGGGGAUUACAGCUGAGUGCUUUUGCAGAGCUUCAUAUUCUGCUCCUGCAGUGGUAAUUGCCGGGAUCUAAGGCUUGGGUCAUCGAGCUGUUGAUCACCUAAUGCUUCCUGUUAUUCUGUUUCUGAUUGUAUCUGUGUUGUUCUUUCGUUCUGGUAUUCUUCAUCUUUAGGUUUUUCUCCAAGGUCUUCCGUUGAAUUUUGUUUCUUUAAUAAUAUCUGUGUUUGUUUCGUUACAUUUCAGCUCGUUUUCUCAUCCUUUUAGAAUAAAUUUGUGAUUGGUUGAGUUUAUAUAUUUUUAAAAUAAAAUAUUAAUCUAAACCGAGUUUAAGUAGUUUUAUUAUAUUAAAUUACAGUGAGUUUCAUAAAAACCUAAAUAUUUAAUACAGUUUUAUGUAUAUUCAAUUUAAGCAAGAAUUACUUUAUUUUUAUAUAUUUUAGUACAAUUAAAAAGUUUCCUUUUUUCAUAAACAAUAAUUUUAUUAAAAUUAAAAUUUAAUCAGGAAAAAAUUAGCAUGAGGAAUCUAUCUCAACCCAGGUCAUCAGAUCUUUUAAUUACAUCCGAUUAAAAUCCCUCGUGCUAAAUUAAAAAAAUCUAUUACAGGAGAUAUUAUUUCAGAUGAUACAUGAAUUAAUCUAAUAUUAUAAAAAUUUUUUAGAUUAAUAAUAAAUUUUUUAUAAAUUAAUAAUGAUUUUUUUCAUUAUUAACUUAUAUGAUGAAAUUACAUCUGUUAUUAUAAAUUUCAUUUGCUAAUACAAUAAUAACGGAUAAUAGCAAUCAAUUACUAAUUUUAUAAUUUUUUAGCAAUUCAUUAUUAAUUUUAAUUAAAUUUAAUAAUAAAUUUUAAAUUUAUUAUUAAUUUGAUAAAUUAUAAAAAAAUAAAUAUUAAAUUUGUUAUUAAAUUUAAUAAUAAGUAGAAAUCAAUCACUAAUUUAAUAAAAUGAAAAAUGAAAAAAAUAUAAAAAUUAUAUUCUGUUAUUAAUUUUUAAAAAAUAUUAAAAAAAUUAUGUUACACUAUUAAUUUUUUCAUUCUAUUUUACACUAAAUAUUAAUAUAAUUAUGAUAAAUUAUUAAUUUUGUUAUUAUAUUUUAAAUUUUAUUAAUUUUAUGAAAACUUAUUAUAAAAUUAUAUAAGAAAAAUGAAAAAAUAUGAUAGAAGGGAAGAAAAUGAAAAAUAAAAGAGAAAAUAAGGAAAAAAAGGAAAAUAAUGAAAAGGAGAAAUUAAAGAAAAUAAGAAAAAAAUGAAGAAAACAGAAAAGAAAAUGGAAAAAAAAUGAGAGAAAAAUGAAGUGAAAAUGAAAGGAAAACAAAAGAGAAAAUAGAAUAAAAUAGAAAAGAAUGAAAAAGUUAGAAGAAAUGUUAGAAAAUAAAGCAAACGAAAAAAUAACGAGAAAAAAGUAAGGCGAAAUGAUAGAAAAUGAAUGAGAAAUGAUAGAAAAUGAAUGAGAAAAUGAAAGAAAUGGAAGAAAGUGAAAGAAAAAUUAAAAAAUUUAAAAGAAGAAAAAAAAGGAUAUGAGAUAAAAUAAAAAAUAAAAUAAAAAUUAAAAGAUAAAAAGAAUAAUAAUAAGAAAAUGAAAGAGAAAAUUAAAAAAAAAUAGAGAAGAAAUAACAAUAUGGAGAAAAAAAUAAAAUAUGAGAAAAAUGAAGAAAUAAGGAGAGGAAAAGGGAAAGGGAAAGAAAAUGAAUGGAAUGAUAAAAGGGAUUUAGUAUUGAAUUUAAUAUUAAUUUAAUUUAUCAUUAAAUUUAAAAGAAAAUUCGAGCGAAUAAAAAUAACAAUCAAUAUUAUUCUCUAAAUUUUAUUAAUUUAUUAUUAAUUUUUAGAAUAGUAAUGAAUUCAAUAAUAAAUUAUUUUUGUUAUUAAAUUAAAAAAAAUAUUUAAUUUUAAAAUAAAAGUAUAAUAUAUUUUUUUAAAAUUUAGUAAUAGUUUUUUUUAAUAAAAUUUAGUAAUAAAUUAUAGAAUUUAUCGCUAAUUUUUGAAUUAAUAAUGAAAAUUUGUGACUAAAUUGGAAAAAAAUAUAAAAUUUUAAAAAAUAAAAAAUUUAUUUAUUGUAAAAAAUAAUAAUGAAUUAAAUCAAUUAUUAAUUUAAUAAUAAACUGUAUUCUGGUGUUAAAUUUGUUAUUAUUUUAUUCAUUUACUGUUUAAAUAAUUUAUUUAUUUAAAUUUAUUAUUAAUAUUUACUAAUUUAGUAACAGAAGUGACAAAUUUCAAAUUUUUUUAUUAAAUUUAUAAAUAAUUUUAUUGAGCAACAGAUUUAGAAUGAGAUUUAGAAUGAAUUUUACAAUUAGAAAACCAAUUAUAUUUUAAAUAAAAAAAUAAAAAAUCAAUUAAUUUUAUAACCUAAACACUUUUAGAUUUUGCAAGUUAUAAUUCUAACAAUAGAAAUAUAAAAAAAGUUAAUUUAAAAAUUUCAAUUUCAAUUUUACUGAAAUUAAAAAGUUAAAAUUAAAUUUAAAAUAAUUUCUACGCAUUAUUUUAUUUUUUCAGCAAAAUAAUUAAUUUUAAUUUUAUAUAAAUUAAAAAGUCAAAAUAAUUUUUUUCAUUAUUUUAAUUUUUUCCAAAAAUGUUACUAAUUUUAAUUAUGCAAGAAUUAGAAAAGUUAUUCCAUCUGAAAUAAUUACAGAAGUAAAAUGUAUUGUAUGUAUAAAAAUAUGGCUAAUUUAAAUUUUUUAUAAAUUAAAAAAAUAAAAAUAAUUAAAUUAAAUUUUAUAUUUAAGGUGGAGUUCGACAAAAAAAGUAGACUAUUUCUCUGGCUCAUGGUCUUAUCUCUUUCUUUUUCCUCUCCUCCUCUUUUUUCUAUAUUUUUUUUAUAAUUAAUUAUUUGAGAAUUUUAUAUAUUGUAUGGAGUGCCUGCCUCAGUUAAGUUAAAUAGGUAUAAUAGUUUUUUAAAUUAAUUUUAUAUUUGACUUAGUGGUUAAUUAUUAUAUACUAUAUUAAAAUAGAAAUACCUUGUACAAUCCAAAUUACUUAACUACUUUGCCCUUGUUAGCAUAUCAACAACACAAAUAAAAGAUUAAUUGUCUUUGUCAUCUCAAAUUUUUAACAAAUUCCUUUGUAUUGCCACUUUGUAAGUAUUCCAUAAGUACACGCAGGUAAAACAAUAAUGCCAAGGUAAUCAAAAAAAUAUUUAAUUCAUUUUUAUUAUAUUAAUUUUUUUAUUUACUUUUUAUAAAAAAACUUUUUUUCUACUUUAUUUUUUUUUAUUUUUAAAAUUUUAUUUUAAUAAAAAUAUUAUAAUAUUAUAUAUUUAUUCUGAUAAUAAGUAUAUUUGAGUAAUAUAUAUAUUUGAGUAAAUUUGAAAGACGGUGAGAAUUGAAGAAUAAUAAUUAGAAUAUAAGAAGUAUAAGUCACCACCGCCUAGAGACGACGAGAACUCAAUUUAGACAGAAACUCAUUACUCAGUUUUCCUUACGGUGAGGAUGCGGAAAUAGGCAGGAAGAUUGACAUAUAGGCUUCAAUUUUGGAAAUACAGCCAUCAAUGACACCUGUCAACUACAUGCAAGAGUUUUGUAAUAUUUUAAUGUUAACGUUUUUUUUUUAAAGAAAUUUGUUAGUUGUUCUUAAACAUAGAUUUAGGUUACAAAAUUUAAUAAUUUAUCUUUAAAGUUUACAAAAAAUAAAAGUUGUAUACUUUUUUAAAAGAAAAUUUGAAUUAUAAAAAAAACUUAACGAAAAGGUUUGAAGAACAAAUAUAAUAAUUAAAAUUUAUAUAAACACUACAAUUAAUUUAAAUAAAAAUAAAAAUUUAAAAUAAUUUAACAACAAUUAAAUUUAGUGCUUUAUUAUAAUGAUAUAAAGUUUUUAUAGACAUUUUAAUUAAUUUAUUAAAUAUUUUAUAGAAAAUUUCCUCCAUAAGUAUUCCACAAGCAAACCUAACUAAAACAAUAAAUUAGCUAAGGUAAUCAGCAAAAUAUUUAUUUCAUUUUUAUUAUAUUAAUUUUAUAAAUAGUUUUGAUUAAAAAAUUCUACCACUAAUUUUUUGUAGUUUUAAAUUUUUAUUUUAAUAAAUACACUGAAAAACUAAAAGUUGUUUGAUACACUUUCAUAUAUCCUAGUUUUUCCUUAUUGAAGGAUUUUACCAGUUUUUUUUACUAUAUUAUAGUAAUAUUUAAAAUUUAUAUAAGACAGAUUAUAUUACAUUAAAGAGGAGAAAUUUAAAUUCAAAAUAUUCAAAAUCAAGUUUUGACUAUUAGAAUAUGAAGUGGUUGGCCUCCACUUGUUUCCAUGUUAACGUGAACUGCACCGUUCAAAAUUUAUAAUAUUUAAUACGAUUAAAAUAAAAUUAUACCGUAAUUGAUUAAUCUGUAAAAAAAGAAAUGUGAGCUAAUUAAUAUUUAUAACAGUCACCUUAAUACUCAAGUCAGUAAAUUAAAAAAAAUAAUAAUAAAUUGAUUAAAACUAAAAAUAAUUGUGUAAAAAUUGUAUAUCUUGACUUUCGUAUUUAUCAAUUUUUAUACUGUAAAAAAUAUAAAAUUAAUUAUUAAAUCUCCUAAAUAUCUAACUGUCAUUGAAUAAUAUCUGUAAUUAUAAAUAUAAUAAAAAUCUAUUUGAUUAUUUUUUUUAAUAAUAAUUUUUCAUAAAAUCUCGUCUUACUAAAAUAAAAAUAAAUUUUAGUAAAGAGUUGAAAAUGACAGUGUUUGAAACUUUUUAUAGGACUGCAUAUUAUCCUAUGAUACUUUGAUCACUCAAUUUUAUUUUAAAGGGAUAGUUAAUAAUUUUAUUUAUACGAAUCAAUAUUCAUAUUGAUUAAUAAUUUAAAUUGAAUAAUCUCAUUUUUGUUUCUAAUUGCUAAGCAGUCGCUCAUUUGUCUUUAUCCUAGCACCCCAAUAAUUCUUAAACAAGUGGCACGAUGAUAUUAUUAGAAUAUUAAAUAUCAAGUGCACAGAGGCGUACUAUAGAAAUUGAUUUAGUAAAAUAAAAAAAAUUAUUGACCUCUUGUGUGAUCAAACACCAACUGAUCGCACUAAAAUUCUCUCUUUAUUUCUCCUUCACAAACGGAUCAUUGGAAAAUAAAAAGCUUCUGACGACUUAUGUUGUAUGACCUUUGUUAAUUUUUUUGAAUUUAGUUUGUCUGGACAGACUUUAUCAACCUCUUUUAAGGUUUUUUUUUUGUUUUCUGAAAAUAAAUUAUAUUUAAAAAAUAUUUUCUAAAAAAAAUAUUUGCUAUAAUAAAUAUUUUUUGAUAAUAUAUUUUAUUUUUUCUUAUUUAUUUUAAUUAAAAAAAAUUUAUCAAUAAAUUUAUAUACAGAAAUCUUAAAAAAAUUUUAAUAUGUGAAAAAUUAUUAAUCGAUUCAAUUCAAUUUUUUUUAAUUAAAAUUAAAUUAAAUUAAAAUAAUUAAAAUUUUAAAAAUAAAAAUUAAAUUAAACUGAAAUAAAUAAAAAAUUAAAUUAAAAUUUUAAAUUGAUUCAAUUUCAUUAAUUUUUUUCAAUUUUAACUGUUCACCCAACUAAUAGUAAUAAUAUAAUUCUGUCAUGGAUAACAAAGAAGAAAAUAAUGCAGUUUGAAAUCGGAAUCUUGGAUCCAAACACUGCACGUUUUAAUUAAUUAAGCUAGGUGGGCUAGGUAGAAAUUUUAAUUUAAUUCACUUAAAUUAACAUAAAAAUAUGUUUAUGACUUUAUAUGAUGACAGAUUUACAGAGAAUUUUUUUAAAAAAAUACGUGGAAAAUGUGGGCUAAAAGUUUAAAAACUUAAAUAAAAAAGUUUUAACUGAAUUUUACAUAAUAAUUCUUAUAUAUUUAUGUUUAUUAAUAUAAAUCUCAAUCAUUUUCUCAUUUUAAUUUUAAUUUUUAUUAUUAUUUUCAAACCAUUUACGCGACAGUCCGGUUAAAAUUGACCCAAAUAAUUUUUAAAUUUAUUUCUAUUUAACCCAAAAUGAUUAAUUUAAGUUAUUUAGUAGUUUCAUAUUAGCUAUUAUAUACUAUUCGAACGAAAAUGCCGUAUUCCGUCGAUGUUGGAUGCUUUUCGUAAGCUAGCAGGUAAACAUUAUAUUUUUCACUGCCAAAUUUGUGAUCUAUUCGUUACAACUGAAUCGGAUACAAUUGUUAAACUAAAAUCCGACCCUUAGAUAUUGUGAUUCGCUAGUAAUUCGGGCGGCUCCACUUCAUCUCACACAAGUAGCUCUUUCCUAGUAGUUUCACUGUGUCUGCACAAUUUAUCUGAUUCAAAGUGACUUUGAUACCAAUUGAAACAGUCCAAAUAACUUUUAAACCCACUUUCUAUUUAACCUAAAAUAAUUAAUCUAAAUUAUUUAGUAAUUACCUACCGAUUAUUAUAUACAAUUCAAAAUUGCAUAUUGCAUAUGCCGUCGACCUCGAAUAAUUUCUGACAAGCAGAUGAACACCACAAUUUAAUUAUCUAUUAUUAUUUUUACAAUAACAAUCUUUUUUUCAAUAAAUUACAAUAACAAUUUUAUCUGCAAUUAAUUCACCUCUGUAAUAAAAAUAUUGAUUGUGAUUAUUUUAUCCAAUUAUAAUUUCUUAUUUGUAUAGUUAUUUUUAAAUUUGUAUUUUAUUAAUAAAAGCAAAAAACUUUCUUUCUUAAUUUUACAUUAUAUAUCUUAGAUUUUUUACAUAUGCUAACCCAUUUUUUUAAUUAGUUGAAUUUUCUGAGCUAGAAGUAGUUUAUUUUUUAUUAAUUUCAUAGAUAAUCGGUUAAAACUUCACGGUAGACAAGCACACCGACCUUUUUUCUAUAUCUAUAUAUCUCCCAUGAGCAAGCACUACUCAAAUCUCACACACCGAUUGCUUUCUUUCCCGUCAACCCCAGCUAAAACUAUUAUCAUUCGCUUCCCUUUCUAAUGGAGGAUGGAAUUGCAGAUUCAUCAGUACCAGUUGCUUUGAUCGUGGGUGUGACGGGCAUGGCAGGCUUGAGCUUGGCAGAAGCUCUGAAGAAGCCAACAGUACUCUCAUCAUCUGCUACAAAGUUCCCAUGGAAAGUGUAUGGAGUAGCUAGGCAACCCUUGCCAAGCUGGUUUCCUUCUUCUUUGCUUGACCAGUUCAUAUCAGUGGAUGUCCUAGACCAAACCCAAACAUUCCAGAAACUCACUUCUAUAUCCUCUCAAGUCACUCAUGUCUUCUGGGUUGCCCUCCAAAUUCGUGAAACUGAAGAAGCUAAUGUUACUGUGAAUUCUAUCAUGCUAGCCAACGUACUUGAUGUGCUCAUAUCUGCCUCUCCUUCUAGGCUCAGGCAUAUAACCUUGCAAACAGGGACAAAGCACUACCUGGGUCCGAUAUUUGAUCCUCAACUCGCAAACCAGCUUGUACACCACGAGCCACCAUUUGAGGAGCACAUGCCCAGGCUACCUUACCCCAAUUUCUACUAUGCUUUAGAAGAUCUAGUGGCAUCUUACUCGCCUUCCAUUACAUAUUCUGUGCAUCGAUCCUCUAUAAUAAUCGGUGCAUCUUCAAGAAGUUUUUAUAACUGUCUGCUCACUUUAUGUGUGUACGCAACCAUUUG